rnacentral:rRNA from 1 species
AUUGAACGCUGGCGGCAUGCCUUACACAUGCAAGUCGAACGGUAACAGGCCGCAAGGUGCUGACGAGUGGCGAACGGGUGAGUAAUGCAUCGGAACGUGCCCAGUCGUGGGGGAUAACUGCUCGAAAGAGCAGCUAAUACCGCAUACGACCUGAGGGUGAAAGCGGGGGACCGUAAGGCCUCGCGCGAUUGGAGCGGCCGAUGUCAGAUUAGCUAGUUGGGGGGGUAAAGGCCUACCAAGGCAACGAUCUGUAGUUGGUCUGAGAGGACGACCGGCCACACUGGGACUGAGACACGGCCCAGACUCCUACGGGAGGCAGCAGUGGGGAAUUUUGGACAAUGGGCGCAAGCCUGAUCCAGCAAUGCCGCGUGCAGGAAGAAGGCCUUCGGGUUGUAAGCUGCUUUUGUCAGGGAAGAAAUCUUCUGGGCUAAUACCCCGGGAGGAUGACAGUACCUGAAGAAUAAGCACCGGCUAACUACGUGCCAGCCGCCGCAGUAAAAC